CAAACCAAAGCUGGCGACCGGCGCACGGGUGAGUAACACGUAUCCAACCUGCCUCAUACUCGGGGAUAGCCUUUCGAAAGAAAGAUUAAUAUCCGAUAGCAUAUAUUUCCCGCAUGGGUUUUAUAUUAAAGAAAUUCGGUAUGAGAUGGGGAUGCGUUCCAUUAGUUUGUUGGGGGGUAACGGCCCACCAAGACUACGAUGGAUAGGGGUUCCGAGAGGAAGGUCCCCCACAUUGGAACUGAGACACGGUCCAA
rnacentral:rRNA from 1 species